rnacentral:rRNA from 1 species
GACGAACGCUGGCGGCGUGCUUAACACAUGCAAGUCUAACGGAAAGGCCCUGCUUUUGUGGGGUGCUCGAGUGGCGAACGGGUGAGUAACACGUGAGUAACCUGCCCUUGACUUUGGGAUAACUUCAGGAAACUGGGGCUAAUACCGGAUAGGAGCUCCUGCUGCAUGGUGGGGGUUGGAAAGUUUCGGCGGUUGGGGAUGGACUCGCGGCUUAUCAGCUUGUUGGUGGGGUAGUGGCUUACCAAGGCUUUGACGGGUAGCCGGCCUGAGAGGGUGACCGGCCACAUUGGGACUGAGAUACGGCCCAGACUCCUACGGGAGGCAGCAGUGGGGAAUAUUGCACAAUGGGCGGAAGCCUGAUGCAGCAACGCCGCGUGCGGGAUGACGGCCUUCGGGUUGUAAACCGCUUUCGCCUGUGACGAAGCGUGAGUGACGGUAAUGGGUAAAGAAGCACCGGCUAACUACGUGCCAGCAGCCGCGGUGAUACGUAGGGUGCGAGCGUUGUCCGGAUUUAUUGGGCGUAAAGGGCUCGUAGGUGGUUGAUCGCGUCGGAAGUGUAAUCUUGGGGCUUAACCCUGAGCGUGCUUUCGAUACGGGUUGACUUGAGGAAGGUAGGGGAGAAUGGAAUUCCUGGUGGAGCGGUGGAAUGCGCAGAUAUCAGGAGGAACACCAGUGGCGAAGGCGGUUCUCUGGGCCUUUCCUGACGCUGAGGAGCGAAAGCGUGGGGAGCGAACAGGCUUAGAUACCCUGGUAGUCCACGCUGUAAACGGUGGGUACUAGAUGUGGGGUCCAUUCCACGGGUUCCGUGCCGUAGCUAACGCUUUAAGUACCCCGCCUGGGGAGUACGGCCGCAAGGCUAAAACUCAAAGGAAUUGACGGGGCCCCGCACAAGCGGCGGAGCAUGCGGAUUAAUUCGAUGCAACGCGUAGAACCUUACCUGGGUUUGACAUGGAUCGGGAGUGCUCAGAGAUGGGUGUGCCUCUUUUGGGGUCGGUUCACAGGUGGUGCAUGGCUGUCGUCAGCUCGUGUCGUGAGAUGCUGGGUUAAGUCCCGCAACGAGCGCAACCCUUGUUCACUGUUGCCAGCACGUUAUGGUGGGGACUCAGUGGAGACCGCCGGGGUCAACUCGGAGGAAGGUGGGGAUGACGUCAAGUCAUCAUGCCCCUUAUGUCCAGGGCUUCACGCAUGCUACAAUGGCUGGUACAGAGAGUGGCGAGCCUGUGAGGGUGAGCGAAUCUCGGAAAGCCGGUCUCAGUUCGGGUUGGGGUCUGCAACUCGACCUCAUGAAGUCGGAGUCGCUAGUAAUCGCAGAUCAGCAACGCUGCGGUGAAUACGUUCCCGGG